rnacentral:rRNA from 1 species
UACGAAGGGGGCUAGCGUUGUUCGGAUUUACUGGGCGUAAAGCGCACGUAGGCGGAUUGUUAAGUCGGGGGUGAAAUCCUGGAGCUCAACUCCAGAAUUGCCUUCGAUACUGGCUUUCUAGAGGCUGGAAGAGGUUAGUGGAAUUCCCAGUGUAGAGGUGAAAUUCGUAGAUAUUCGCAAGAACACCAGUGGCGAAGGCGGCUUACUGGUCCGGUUCUGACGCUGAGGCGCGAAAGCGUGGGGAGCAAACAGG